GUAACGCGUAUGCAACCUACCUUCUACAGGGGGAUAGUCAAUAGAAAUGUUGAAUAAUACCCCAUACGAUCAUGAAUUCGCAUGGAUUUAUGAGGAAAGUUCCGGCGGUAGAAGAUGGGCAUGCGUCCUAUUAGCUUGUUGGUGAGGUAACGGCUCACCAAGGCGACGAUGGGUAGGGGGCCUGAGAGGGCGAUCCCCCACACUGGUACUGAGACACGGACCAGACUCC
rnacentral:rRNA from 1 species